CUACUUCUUGUUGUGCUCUUGUAGUGGCUCCCUCUUCUGUGCGCUAGCCUCUCGCACCUUACUCACUCCCACGCCCUGCCGUCCACAAGCAACCAUAUAAAUCGGACGCUAAGCCUAAUCACUGUGCCCAUGGCGGACUACACGUACGGCACCGCCACCCGCCACGCCGACGGUGUCGACAGCACGUCUACCCUCGAUGACCCGGGCCUGCUCGGCAGGCUGGUCAAGUCUGCAAAGAGCGCGCACAGCACUCUCGGCCGUGCGCUGGACACAAACCUGUCGAACCAGCGCUUUGGCGGGGCGGAGAUGGAGCCGAGCGCGCUGACGAUCAACUGGCGCGAGCGAAGGCGCCAGCUGCGACUGCAGCAAGAGAUGCAAGGCGCAUGCGACGACAUUCACCUGCGCGCGACGGGGAGGCAAAGGGAGCAGCGCAGUGGCGUUUUAGGGGCAUCAGCGACCGGUCAAGUACCAUGCGCAGCAGCCGCGUCCACACUAUCAGCGGCAGGCACGGCCAUGGGUGGCACCGCUGAAACGUCGCAGUUGUUUAUCCCGGCACUACCGACGAUGGCGCCAUCCAUGACGGCCGCCGCCGACGAUGGCACGGAGGCCCUCGGUGGCACGAAGAUCGGCGGUGACGACCGCGGCUACGUCACCCUCAUCGGGGCAGUUCCGACCUACAAUACAACGCGACUAAUUGAAGACAACUACGAGCUUAUCAGCAGCUUUCGCGCCUACCGCACGGACGCACUACGGACGGAGCAGCAGGCUGCCCUCCGUGACGUCUCGGCACCCCACCCCGACCUUCUCCAGCAACUAGCACCGCUGGUUCAGCAGGAGCAAGGCAGCGAAGCAGGCCAGCAGCAUCUGCUCGUAGAUCAAGAAACGCUCCCGUAUCACCUCCGCCAGCGCUACACACAAGCCCGUGCGUCGCAGUCGACAUCGGCGGCGCAUGCAGAUGCGGCUGCUGCGGCAGCGGACGGAGGCGAUGACGCUGCGGCACAUAGCCCUGCGUCUCCGCGGCAGGCGGACAACACGGCGCCGAUGACCGCCGCCGCCAAGGGCACGUGGGCCUUCACCUGCCAAGGUCGUCCGGACAUAACGGGCGCGCAAUACAGCGGCCCGGUCGCUGGUACUGGCGGGAAGGGUGGUAGCGAGCCCUGCCGUCGUCGCCUCAUCGGCCAUCGCCAACCAUGCCUCGGCCAGUACCACGUGCGCUACACCGUCGUCGAGCCGCGUGUCGUCGGCGGCUACGUGGCACCACAUGCCCCGAAGAUGGACAAACAGCCGCAGGGCGAGGCAAGCGCGCGAAAAGACGCCGGCGGCGCAGAGGCAACGCAUCGUACCAACAGCGCUGCGGGCGACAACGGCUCCAACUUGGGCUACACGCAGCGAGAAGACUGGCUCUUGACUACGAAUCAGCACGGGUCGCGCAACGGGAGCGCCGACACUGCCGCGCACCGUGGCGGCAGCACGCAUGGCCGUAACAUCAAGGGCAGCUCCAUGUUCAUCUCAGAGUCGCCGCGGCAGAUGAAGCACGGCACAGCAGCCCCUGAUAUCUUUUACUGGCCGUACCCCGAUGUGCGCUCGACUGUGAAGCGUGUAUCUUGCCUUGUGCAGCUUGACAACCCUACCACGCACCGCCGCAGGGAGCCGCUCGUCUCAGGAGUGCCGGCCUCGGUGUACGAGGUGUGCGGCGAUAUCGCGGCUCACCAGCCACGGAUCGUGACUAUGAAUCAGACAACUGGACGCGACUCGCACUGGUACAAUCGAACACCGCCUAAAGUCCUCGGCGAGCCGCUGGAUGUAGAUGAAGCACUGCGCGCGACGCGACCAAAGGAGCGAGCUGCAACGUUGCUGCCCUGUGCGCACGCAAGUAACCCGAACACGGAUCCAGCGCAUGCGCUGGCCCCGGUGGACACAAGCGUCUCUGUCGAGCGCAAUUUAGCAUAUCCACAGUCCUUCAUUGGCGGCUCAACGCAGCUGGAGCGCAUCCGUGACUUUGGUAAGAUCCUCAGCCGAGACAAGCGGGAGGCGCUGGCGCUGCGCAACAUCGGCAGCGGUGCGGGCAAUGACGUGCUUCCCGGAGAAGCCGAGGAAGCGUGCGAGUGGACGCGGAGACGUAGCCACUCUGCAUUGAUACACCCCCGCGCGCCUGGUCAUCAACCAUUGCACGCGCCGAACGCUACCGAGCUCGGUGAAGUGCCCUCACUGACCCUAACGAAGCCCCGCUCGGGGUGCACGACUGAUCUCGGCAAGGGUACAGCCAGGCCGAUGAACCUCCUACCGCUGCAUGACCUCACAUACGACCCGGAGCCAGGCUAUGUGCUGAUAGGGCCACGCGUGAAGGGGACACCGUCGAUCGCCCGCACUGCGACACGUCAACAGGUGCAGUCAUGGACUGCGGGGAAGGGCUGCGGUGCCCCGGUGAUGUACGAUCCGACAGACUACCUGGCCCCACACGUCAAGUCGGUGCCUGACUUCGAGAAGCAGAUUACGAAGGAGCGCGAGUUCCGCGGCCACCGGGUCCAGUCAGAGCGGUACCUGCAGCUUUUUCCCUCCGCCCCUGGGCCCGGCCACUACACGGUCAACUACAAGCAAGUGGAGUAGUGAGUGAAGCUGAGGGUGCAACGAGAGAGAACAAAGAAAAGUGAUAGGCACCAGUGCGUUUACUCUCUCUGCGUGCGUGCGUGUAUGUGCAUGUGCACGCCCGUCUCCUCUUUCUGCAUUCGGACCUCUGCGCGGUGGAGGACUCGGCGGCUCUGAUAGACACACACACACACACACACACGCACACACACACACACACACACGUGCACACACAUGUGCAUACACCCACAUAGAGGGAGGAGUCUGCCCGUUGCUGUCUCUCUCUCUAGCUUUUUUUUGUGUGGUGCUCUCCCGUGCCUGCUCGCGUGCUUUCCUUCGAUUUUGUUCCUUUCCUCCUCCGUCUUUCCUCACUGCCACGACCUCACUCAUGUAUACUGCCUCUCCCUUCCCACCACUUUAUCUUCACCUCCCUCUUGCCCCGCUCCCUCCUUCAUUCGUGUGCGUGCGGGCCCUUGUAG
rnacentral:misc_RNA from 1 species